UACGUAGGGGCCUAGCGUUGUCCGGAAUUAUUGGGCGUAAAGAGCUCGUAGGCGGUUCGGCAAGUCGGAUGUGAAAUCUCCACGCUUAACGUGGAGGGGCCAUUCGAAACUGCUGUGACUCGAGUCCGGUAGGGGAGUGUGGAAUUCCCGGUGUAGCGGUGAAAUGCGCAGAUAUCGGGAGGAACACCAGUAGCGAAGGCAGCCCCCUGGGCUAACACUGACGCUCAUGCACGAAAGCGUGGGGAGCAAACAGG
rnacentral:rRNA from 1 species